rnacentral:rRNA from 1 species
GACGAACGCUGGCGGCGUGCUUAACACAUGCAAGUCGAACGGUGAAGCGCCUUCCUUUUUGGUGGGUGUGGAUGAGUGGCGAACGGGUGAGUAACACGUGAGUAACCUGCCCCCUUCUUCUGGAUAACCGCAUGAAAGUGUGGCUAAUACGGGAUAUUCUGGGUCUGUCGCAUGAUGGGUCUGGGAAAGAUAUUGUUUCGGUGGGGGAUGGGCUCGCGGCCUAUCAGCUUGUUGGUGGGGUGAUGGCCUACCAAGGCGGUGACGGGUAGCCGGCCUGAGAGGGUGGACGGUCACACUGGGACUGAGACACGGCCCAGACUGCUACGGGAGGCAGCAGUGGGGAAUAUUGCACAAUGGGCGCAAGGCUGAUGCAGCGACGCCGCGUGAGGGAUGGAGGCCUUCGGGUUGUGAACCUCUUUCGCCAGUGAAGCAGGCCUGCCUCGUUUGUGGGUGGGUUGACGGUAGCUGGAUAAGAAGCGCCGGCUAACUACGUG